rnacentral:rRNA from 1 species
UACGUAGGGGGCGAGCGUUGUCCGGAGUUACUGGGCGUAAAGCGUACGCAGGCGGUCUGCUAAGUUUGGAGUGACAGUUGGUGGCUUAACUGCCAAAGUGCUUCGAAAACUGACAGACUUGAGGGCUUCAGAGGGACACGGAAUUCCGGGUGGAGUGGUGAAAUGCGUAGAGAUCCGGAGGAACACCAAAGGCGAAGGCAGUGUCCUGGGGAGUACCUGACGCUCAGGUGCGAAAGCCAGGGGAGCGAACGGG